CACACAUUGGAAUUUCGCUAACUCCUCCGAAGGCUUUCAUUCCACCGGCACCACAUUUGCUCAGGCCAAUCUACACCCCAUGGCCAUUAAAAGUUAUUCAAAUCAUGACGCUGCACCCCACGGUUUAGGUUCUAGGGGGCGCCAAAGAUAACCCUAAAAUCCACAUAUUUAAAAGUCUUAUAACUUUUUAUUUUUGUCCUCACUGGCCUCCAAGUUUUCUAGGAUGAUGCAAUGUCCAGCCAUCAACACAUUUGUGAAGGAAUUUUUACUCCCCAAAAGAGCGCCCCCCAUGGCAGGAGAAAAAAGUCAAUUUUUUCUUGUCCCCUAAGGUGGAAAUUCACACUAUUGACUGUCACGCCUGUACGCUUUAUCAUAUUGACACAAAAUUUGACAAUCACAUGUAUCUCAAUAAGAUCUACAAAAAAGUCAAUGCGCGCGUAUCUGUCAAAUGUACGGUUAAAGGGCUAUUUUGCAUUUUUUGCCGAUUCGCACACAUUGGAAUGUGGCUAACUCCUCCUAAGGCUUUCGUCCCACUGACACCAAAUUUGCUCAGGCCAAUCUACACCCCAUGGUCAUUCAAAGUUGUAAAAAUCAUGACGCUGCACCCCACGCUUUACGUUCUAGGGGGCGCCAAAGAUGACCCAAAUAUCCACAUUCUUAAAAGAAUCCACAUCCCCCCCCCCCCAUCCCCCAACCCCCAUGGCAGGAAAAAAAAGUCAAGUUUUUCCUGCCCAUCACUCAAUGGCUCAAUCGCAUCACUCUCCCGGCAACACCGUAACAAGGAGCAACUUGCCGUUUGGAUAUAUCCUAGCUGUGUUUGUGCCCUCACUCAUGGUCCAGACUUUUUUCAAAUAGGACAUGUAGUUUGUCUGCAGCGAGUGUUUUGGUAGAAACUGCGCCUCCCAUUCAUUAUAAUGGGAAAUGACCACAGACAAGUGCGCACACCAUCUUUGGACCUUGAGUGUGACGCGAUCGGGAGGGGGAGGCGGUCGCGCUGGGGGCGGCGCAACGCGGCUCGGGCCCGACAGUGCCCCACCGGGGCCCUAGUUUCUUUUUCCUCCCCUUUGAACUGGAAAAUGGCCCACUUCCCACUGGCGAAAACUCAUGAAAUUUGGCAGGACGACCGGGCCUGGUGAAAAAUUUGAUAUUCCGAAGUCGCCCAAACAAGAAAAUGCAAAAUGGCUCCAUAGCGCCCCCUAAGGUGAAAAUUCACACUAUUGACUGUCACGCCUGUACGCUUUGUCAAAAUGACACAAAAAUUGACACACACAUGUAUCUCAAUAAGAUCUACAAAAAAGUCAGUGCGGGCGUAUCUGUCAAAUGUACAGUUAAAGGGCUAUUUCGCAUUUUUUGCCGAUCCGCACACAUUGGAAUUUCGCUAACUCCUCCGAAGGCUUUCGUUCCACCGGCACCACAUUUGCUCAGGCCAAUCUACACCCCAUGGCCAUUAAAAGUUAUUCAAAUCAUGACGCUGCACCCCACGGUUUAGGUUCUAGGGGGCGCCAAAGAUAACCCUAAAAUCCACAUAUUUAAAAGUCUUAUAACUUUUUAUUUUUGCCCUCACUGGCCUCCAAGUUUUCUAGGAUGAUGCAAUGUCCAGCCAUCAACACAUUUGUGAAGGAAUUUUUACUCCCCAAAAGAGCGCCCCCCCCCAUGGCAGGAGAAAAAAGUCCAUUUUUUCUUGUCCCCUAAGGUGAAAAUACACAUUGUUGAGUGUCACGCCUGUACGCUUUGUCAAAAUGACACAAAAAUUGACACACACAUGUAUCUCAAUAAGAUCUACAAAAAAGUCCAUGCGCGCGUAUCUGUCAAAUGUACGGUUAAAGGGUUAUUCCGCAUUUUUUGCCGAUUCGCACACAUUGGAAUUUCGCUAACUCCUCCGAAGGCUUUCGUUCCACCGGCACCACAUUUGCUCAGGCCAAUCUACACCCCAUGGCCAUUAAAAGUUAUUCAAAUCAUGACGCUGCACCCCACGGUUUACGUUCUAGGGGGCGCCAAAGAUAACCCAAAAAUCCACAUUUUUAAAAGUCUUAUAACUUUUUAUUUUUGUCCUCACUGGCCUCCAAGUUUUCUAGGAUGAUGCAAUGUCCAGCCAUCAACACAUUUGUGAAGGAAUUUUUACUCCCUAAAAGAGCGCCCCCCAUGGCAGGAGAAAAAAGUCCAUUUUUUCUUGUCCCCUAAGGUGAAAAUACACAUUGUUGACUGUCACGCCUGUACGCUUUGGCAAAAUGACACAAAAAUUGACAAUCAUGUGUAUCUCAAUUAGAUCUACGAAAAAGUCAAAGAGCGCGUAUCUGUAUAAUGUACGGUAAAAGGGCUAUUUUGCAUUUUUUGCCGAUUCGCACACAUUGGAAUUUCGCUAACUCCUCCUAAGGCUUUCGUCCCACUGACACCAAAUUUGCUCAGGCCAAUCUACACUCCAUGGCCAUUCAAAGUUGUAAAAAUCAUGACGCUGCACCCCACGGUUUACGUUUUAGGGGGCGCCAAAGAUGACCCAAAUAUACAUUACAGUAGACAAAGUAGUUUUGCCCACUGAGUGGCGCCAAAGGGACUUGUCUGUGGAGUCUGUGAGUCACUAUUGGCCGUUUUUGACUACUUUAGAUUUUACCUUUAUAUUUCCUCUUACAAAAUUUUUACCUUGCCUUGCCUGGUAUCAUUUUUUUCAGCACAACCUCACCUGUGUCAAUUUACAGUUAUUUUAUCAUUUUGACAUACUAUAUUUACACAUUGGACCCAAAUUCACACACAAAACAUAAAAUCCGAGUGGAAAAAAGUAACGUUUUUACUGUGAAAACCACAAAUAUGUGUGAUGAACUGUUUUUAAAACUUAAACUUCAAAUAAAAAUUGUAAACUUCAAAACAUAUGCAAAUUUUUAACAAAGAACAUAGUAAUUUACCUCUAUUUACAUCAAAAUGCAGGCAAUGGCCCAGGUGUUCUUUGUAAAAUUAUUUACAAAACACUGUAUAGUCUCACAAAUGUCACUUUUUAUUUAUGCCACUACAAAAAAACAUGAUGUAAAUGAUGCAUGAUGUAAAACAUGAUGUAAAAAACUUGUGUAGAUCCUCCUCUAUGUUAGUCCAUGUGUAAUUUUUCCAUAAUUCUUUGUUUUUUGCAGCAUUUUUGUUAGUGUAACUGCAGAUUGUGCUGACAGUGUCUAUGGCAAAAAAAAAAAAAAAAACUGAAAAUGCCUCAACAUGAACCCCUGGUGGUCUCUGAGGGUGAAACCUGCUAACUGCUGCAGCUCUGUCAGCUACAUCCGGUUAAAUAUGUCAUGUGACUUGAACGCACACACACACACACACACACACACACACACACACACACACACACACACACACACACACACACGCACACACACACACACUCAGAGUCUGGUUUUUAGCACCUGCAAAAACAUGCUAUUUACAUAUUUGACAAGAAUGCAGAGGCUCCUUUUGCCCCUGAAAAAAAUCAAAUUUCAAACACAACUUGACUGGUCAUUUCUCCAAAAGACAACCAUGAAGCUCCAUCCAAACCUGAAGCAGGCAGUUGGUGCAUGUGUACAGUAACCUGAGGGGAGUGAGGUGACUGCUUCUGAGGAGAACAUGAGCAGUGAAGAUUCACCUUAGAGCUAGAACAGAGACGUGCACAUGAUUAUACAGGGGCAGGGGCUCAAGUUUUUUCCAGUUGUUUAUACAAUAUGGGAAUUAAUGUGAAAUUAAAAAACAAAGUAUUAAUAGAAAGGUAAUGACUGUCCUGAGUAGGUGACAGUGAUAUCCAAUAGGCUAGGCACUCAAGAGGCUGGCUGUGGCAAGUGUAAGUGAAAGCAACACGCACUGGCAGGAAGAACAGCAAACGCCGAUGAAGGAAAAGGGUCUUUGCAGUGAUGGGCGUUACCAGAGAGGGCGAUGGCCAGAGGACACAAAUGGGACGGGGAGGCAGCGCGUUGGGGGGGGGACGCGACACAGCUCGGGCCCGCCAGUGCCCCAACGGGGUCCUAGUUAGGGCCCGAGCGUAGCUGCUAAGCAGCUGCGAGAGCCCUAUUAUUCCCCAAGUGGUUUUUCUUUGUUUCUUUCUUUCUUUAGGGCCCGAGCCAGCUGCAGAGCAGCCGGGCGUAGGCCCUAUUAUUCCCCAAGUGGUUUUUCUUUGUUUCUUUCUUUCUUUCUUUCUUUCUUCUUUUUCCUCCCCUUUGAACUGGAAAAUGGCCCACUUCCCACUGGCGAAAACUCAUGAAAUUUGGCAGGACGACCGGGCCUGGUGAAAAAUUCGAUAUUCUGAAGUCGCCCAAACAAUAAAAUGCAAAAUGGCUCCAUAGCGCCCCCUAAGGUGGAAAUUCACACUAUUGACUGUCACGCCUGUACGCUUUGUCAUAUUGACACAAAAAUUGACACACAUAUGUAUCUCAAUAGGAUCUACAAAAAAGUCAGUGCGACCGUAUCUGUCAAAAUUACGGUUAAAGGGUUAUUUCGCAUUUUUUGCCGAUCCGCACACAUUGGAAUUUCGCUAACUCUUCCGAAGGCUUUCGUUCCACCGGCACCACAUUUGCUCAGGCCAAUCUACACCCCGUGGCCAUUAAAAGUUAUCAAAAUCAUGACGCUGCACCCCAAGGUUUAGGUUCUAGGGGGCGCCAAAGAUAACACUAAAAUCCACAUAUUUAAAAGUCUUAUAACUUUUUAUUUUUGUCCUCACUGGCCUCCAAGUUUUCUAGGAUGAUGCAAUGUCCAGCCAUCAACACAUUUGUGAAGGAAUUUUUACUCCCCAAAAGAGCGCCCCCCCAUGGCAGGAGAAAAAAGUCAAUUUUUUCUUGUCCCCUAAGGUGAAAAUACACAUUGUUGACUGUCACGCCUAUACGCUUUGUCAAAAUGACACAAAAAUUGACACACACAUGUAACUCAAUAAGAUCUACGAAAAAGUCAAUGCGCGCGUAUCUGUCAAAUGUACGGUUAAAGGGUUAUUCCGCAUUUUUUGCCGAUCCGCACACAUUGGAAUGUGGCUAACUCCUCCUAAGGCUUUCGUUCCACCGGCACCACAUUUGCUCAGGCCAAUCUACACCCCAUGGCCAUUAAAAGUUAUCAAAAUCAUGACGCUGCACCCCACGGUUUAGGUUCUAGGGGGCGCCAAAGAUAACCCUAAAAUCCACAUAUUUAAAAGUCUUAUAACUUUUUAUUUUUGUCCUCACUGGCCUCCAAGUUUUCUAGGAUGAUGCAAUGUCCAGCCAUCAACACAUUUGUGAAGGAAUUUUUACUCCCCAAAAGAGCGCCCCCCAUGGCAGGAGAAAAAAGUCCAUUUUUUCUUGUCCCUUAAGGUGAAAAUACAUAUUGUUGAGAUUCACGCCUAUACGCUUUGUCAUAUUGACACAAAAUUUGACAAUCACGUGCCUUGCCUGGUAUCAUUUUUUUCAGCACAACCUCACCUGUGCGAAUUUACAGUUAUUUUAUCAUGUUGACAUACUGAAUUUACACAGUGGACCCAAAUUCACACACAAAACAUAAAAUCCGAGUGGAAAAAAGUAACAUUUUUACUGUGAAAACCACAAAUAUGUGUGAUGAACUGUUUUUAAAACUUAAACUUCAAAUAAAAAUUGUAAACUUCAAAACAUAUGCAAAUUUUUAACAAAGAACAUAGUGAUUUACCUCUAUUUACAUCAAAAUGCAGGCAAUGGCCCAGGCGUUCUUUGUAAAAUUAUUUACAAAACACUGUAUAGUCUCACAAAUGUCACUUUUUAUUUAUGCCACUACAAAAAAACAUGAUGUAAAUGAUGCAUGAUGUAAAACAUGAUGUAAAAUACUUGUGUAGAUCCUCCUCUAUGUCAGUCCAUGUGUAAUUUUUCCACAAUUCUUUGUUUUUUGCAGCAUUUUUGUUAGUGUAACUGCAGAUUGUGCUGACAGUGUCUAUGGCACAAAAAAAAAAAAAAAAAAAAUGCCUCAACAUGAACCCCUGGUGGUCUCUGAGGGUGAAACCUGCUAACUGCUGCAGCUCUGUCAGCUUCAGUCUCCCAUGCAGAGCUCUGAGCGCAUGUGUGGCUCUGCACCCUUAGCAGCGUUGCUAACUCCUCAGUAAGGAAAGCCUGCUUCAUGUCAGAGUCUCUAAACUCCAGAAGAAGUAGAUAAAAGUCCCUUUCUUUCUAAAAAAAGUCGUUAGGGGGUCUGAAAAGUCAUUGAAUCUAACAACAAAGUCGCUAGGUUUGCAACUACGUGUCCCAGACUGCAUCCCUGCUGAGAGUCCCUCCCUCCCUUCUCAUGUUGCAGGAAGAACGUAAGCGCCCUCCCCUUGUCAAUCAGUCACCAUAUAAUUUUGGAUUGGUUGUUGUGGUGAAGUUUUCCACCAAUAGGAGAGAUGUUGUGGUGUGUUUUUUUUUUCUUUUGGCAAGCCUUUUCCGCCUGUAAGACCUGUCGCUAAUGUCUGCAUGCUAUGUUUUCCUGUCUCAUACAGCGCGAUCGAGCGCCGAACGUGAUCAAAAUAAGCAGAAAAAAAGUAUCGCGGACAUAAUUUAUCAUAACUCUGGUUUUAUUUGGCCUAUCAACACAAUUUAAAAACUGGUAUAUAGGUUGAGGUCCUCACUUUUGAGAUAAGUUGAAACGGAGAGUCAACGAGGCUCCGUCUUGCAGCUACAUCCGGUUAAAUAUGUCAUGUGACUUGAACGCACACACACACACACACACACACACACAGACACACACACACACGCACACACACACACUCAGAGUCUGGUUUUUAGCACCUGCAAAAACAUGCUAUUUACAUAUUUGACAAGAAUGCAGAGGCUCCUUUUGCCCCUGAAAAAAAUCAAAUUUCAAACACAACUUGACUGGUCAUUACUCCAAAAGACAACCAUGAAGCUCCAUCCAAACCUGAAGCAGGCAGUUGGUGCAUGUGUACAGUAACCUGAGGGGAGUGAGGUGACUGCUUCUGAGGAGAACAUGAGCAGUGAAGAUUCACCUUAGAGCUAGAACAGAGACGUGCACAUGAUUAUACAGGGGCAGGGGCUCAAGUUUUUUCCAGUUGUUUAUACAAUAUGGAAAUUAAUGUGAAAUUAAAAAACAAAGUAUUAAUAGAAAGGUAAUGACUGUCCUGUGUAGGUGACAGUGAUAUCCAAUAGGCUAGGCACUCACGAGGCUGGCUGUGGCAAGUGUAAGUGAAAGCAACACGCACUGGCAGGAAGAACAGCAAACGCCGAUGAAGGAAAAGGGUCUUUGCAGUGAUGGGCGUUACCAGAGAGGGCGAUGGCCAGAGGACACAAAUGGGACGGGGAGGCAGCGCGUUGGGGGGGGGACGCGACACAGCUCGGGCCCGCCAGUGCCCCAACGGGGUCCUAGUUAGGGCCCGAGCGUAGCUGCUAAGCAGCUGCGAGAGCCCUAUUAUUCCCCAAGUGGUUUUUCUUUGUUUCUUUCUUUCUUUCUUUCUUCUUUUUCCUCCCCUUUGAACUGGAAAAUGGCCCACUUCCCACUGGCGAAAACUCAUGAAAUUUGGUUGGAUGACCGGGACUGGUGAAAAAUUUGAUAUUCCGAAGUCGCCCAAACAAGAAAAUGCAAAAUGGCUCCAUAGCGCCCCCUAAGGUGAAAAUUCACACUAUUGACUGUCACGCCUUUACGCUUUGUCAAAAUGACACAAAAAUUGACACACAUAUGUAUCUCAAUAAGAUCUACAAAAAAGUCAGUGCGGGCGUAUCUGUCAAAUGUACGGUUAAAGGGUUAUUCCGCAUUUUUUGCCGAUCCGCACACAUUGGAAUUUCGCUAACUCCUCCGAAGGCUUUCUUUCCACCGGCACCACAUUUGCUCAGGCCAAUCUACACCCCAUGGGCCAUUAAAAGUUAUUCAAAUCAUGACGCUGCACCCCACGGUUUAGGUUCUAGGGGGCGCCAAAGAUAACCCUAAAAUCCACAUAUUUCAAAGUCUUAUAACUUUUUAUUUUUGCCCUCACCGGCCUCCAAGUUUUCUAGGAUGAUGCAAUGUCCAGUCAUCAACACAUUUGUGAAGGAAUUUUUACUCCCCAAAAGAGCGCCCCCCCAUGGCCGUAGAAAAAAGUCCAUUUUUUCUUGUCCCCUAAGGUGAAAAUACACAUUGUUGAGUGUCACGCCUGUACGCUUUGUCAUAUUGACACAAAAAUUGACACACAUAUGUAUCUCAAUAAGAUCUACGAAAAAGUCAAUGGGCGCGUAUCUGUCAAAUGUACGGUUAAAGGGUUAUUCCGCAUUUUUUGCUGAUCCGCACACAUUGGAAUUUCGCUAACUCCUCCUAAGGCUGGCGUUCCACCGGCACCACAUUUGCUCAGGCCAAUCUACACCCCAUGGCCAUUAAAAGUUAUUCAAAUCAUGACGCUGCACCCCACGGUUUAGGUUCUAGGGGGCGCCAAAGAUAACCCUAAAAUCCACAUAUUUCAAAGUCUUAUAACUUUUUAUUUUUGUCCUCACUGGCCUCCAAGUUUUCUAGGAUGAUGCAAUGUCCAGCCAUCAACACAUUUGUGAAGGAAUUUUUACUCGCCAAAAGAGCGCCCCCCCAUGGCAGGAGAAAAAAGUCAAUUUUUUCUUGUCCCGUAAGGUGAAAAUUCACAUUGUUGAGUGUGACACCUGUACGCUUUGUCAUAUUGACACAAAAUUUGACAAUCACGUGUAUCUCAAUAAGAUCUACGAAAAAGUCAAUGGGUGCGUAUCUGUCAAAUGUACGGUUAGAGGGCUUUUUUGCAUUUUUUGCCGAUUCGCACACAUUGGAAUGUGGCUAACUCCUCCUAAGGCUUUCGUCCCACUGAAACCAAAUUUGCUCAGGCCAAUCUACACCCCAUGGCCAUUCAAAGUUGUAAAAAUCAUGACGCUGCACCCCACGGUUUAGGUUCUAGGGGGCGCCAAAGAUGACCAAAAAAUCCACAUUCUUAAAAGAAUCCACAUUCUCCCCCCCCCCAUGGCAGGAGAAAAAGUCAAGUUUUUCCUGCCCAUCGCUCAAUGGCUCAAUCGCAUCGCUCUCCAGGCAACACCGUAACGAGGAGCAACCUGCCAUUUGGAUAUAUCCCAGCUGUGUUUGUGCCCUCACUCAUGGUCCAGACUUUUUUCAAAUAGGACAUGAAGUUUGUCUGCAGCGAGUGUUUUGGUAGAAACUGCGCCUCCCAUUCAUUAUAAUGGGAAAUGACCACAGACAAGUGCGCACACCAUCUUUGGACCUUGAGUGUGACGCGAUCGGGAGGGGGAGGCGGUCGCACUGGGGGCGGCGCGAUGCGGCUCGGGCCUGACAGUGCCCCACCGGGGCCCUAGUUAGGGCCCGAGCGUAGCUGCUAAGCAGCUGCGAGAGCCCUCUUGUUCCUGCAUGUUUCCUUCUUUAGGGCCCGAGCCAGCUGCAGAGCAGCCGGGCGUAGGCCCUGUUAUUCCUGUAGGGGUUUUUCUUUGUUUCUUUCUUAGGGCCCGAGCGUAGCUGCUAAGCAGCUGCGAGAGCCCUCUUGUUCCUGUAGUUUCCUUCUUUUGUUAUUAUUAUUAUUAUUAUUAUUUUUCCUCCCCUUUGAACUGGAAAAUGGCCCACUUCCCACUGGCGAAAACUCAUGAAAUUUGGCAGGACGACCGGGCCUGGUGAAAAAUUUGAUAUUCCGAAGUCGCCCAAACAAGAAAAUGCAAAAUGGCUCCAUAGCGCCCCCUAAGGUGAAAAUUCACACUAUUCACUGUCACGCCUGUACGCUUUGUCAAAAUGACACAAAAAUUGACACACACAUGUAUCUCAAUAAGAUCUACAAAAAAGUCAGUGCGGGCGUAUCUGUCAAAUGUACGGUUAAAGGGUUAUUUCGCAUUUUUUGCCGAUCCGCACACAUUGGAAUUUCGCUAACUCCUCCGAAGGCUUUCGUUCCACCGGCACCACAUUUGCUCAGGCCAAUCUACACCCGAUGGCCAUUAAAAGUUAUUCAAAUCAUGACGCUGCACCCCACGGUUUAGGUUCUAGGGGGCGCCAAAGAUAACCCUAAGAUCCACAUAUUUAAAAGUCUUAUAACUUUUUAUUUUUGCCCUCACUGGCCUCCAAGUUUUCUAGGAUGAUGCAAUGUCCAGCCAUCAACACAUUUGUGAAGGAAUUUUUACUCCCCAAAAGAGCGCCCCCCCAUGGCAGGAG
rnacentral:lncRNA from 1 species